GCCCGCGUGGUGGAAUGGUAGACACAGGGGACUUAAAAUCCCUAGCCUUCACGGCGUGCCGGUUCGAGUCCGGCCGCGGGUACCA
rnacentral:tRNA from 1 species